rnacentral:rRNA from 1 species
CAGUCGCCACGGUAAUACGUAGGUGGCAAGCGUUGUCCGGAAUUAUUGGGCGUAAAGGGCUCGCAGGCGGUUUCUUAAGUCUGAUGUGAAAGCCCCCGGCUCAACCGGGGAGGGUCAUUGGAAACUGGGAAACUUGAGUGCAGAAGAGGAGAGUGGAAUUCCACGUGUAGCGGUGAAAUGCGUAGAGAUGUGGAGGAACACCAGUGGCGAAGGCGACUCUCUGGUCUGUAACUGACGCUGAGGAGCGAAAGCGUGGGGAGCGAACAGGAUUAGAUACCCCAGUAGUCCCUGUCUCUUAUAA